GAUGAACGCUGGCGGCGUGCUUAACACAUGCAAGUCGAACGAAGCACUUUAACCUGAUUCUUCGGAUGAAGGUUUUUGUGACUGAGUGGCGGACGGGUGAGUAACGCGUGGGUAACCUGCCUCAUACAGGGGGAUAACAGUUAGAAAUGACUGCUAAUACCGCAUAAGACCACAGAGCCGCAUGGCUCGGUGGGAAAAACUCCGGUGGUAUGAGAUGGACCCGCGUCUGAUUAGGUAGUUGGUGGGGUAACGGCCUACCAAGCCAACGAUCAGUAGCCGACCUGAGAGGGUGACCGGCCACAUUGGGACUGAGACACGGCCCAAACUCCUACGGGAGGCAGCAGUGGGGAAUAUUGCACGAUGGGGGAAACCCUGAUGCAGCGACGCCGCGUGAGCGAAGAAGUAUUUCGGUAUGUAAAGCUCUAUCAGCAGGGAAGAAAAUGACGGUACCUGACUAAGAAGCACCGGCUAAAUACGUG
rnacentral:rRNA from 1 species